UAGGGAAUAUUGGACAAUGGGCGAAAGCCUGAUCCAGCCAUGCCGCGUGAGUGAUGAAGGCCUUCGGGUCGUAAAACUCUUUUCUGAGGGAAGAACAUCCCAGGUAGGAAAUGACUUGGGCUUGACGGUACCUCAGGAAUAAGCAACGGCUAACUCCGUGCCAGCAGCCGCGGUAAUACGGAGGUUGCGAGCGUUGUUCGGAAUUACUGGGCGUAAAGGGAGCGCAGGCGGUUUGAUAAGUCUGAAGUGAAAGCCCGGGGCUUAACCUCGGAAGUGCUUUGGAUACUGUCAGACUUGAGUACGUGAUAGGAGAGCGGAAUUCAGGGUGUAGCGGUGAAAUGCGUAGAUAUCCUGAGGAACACCAGUGGCGAAAGCGGCUCUCUGGCACGAAACUGACGCUGAGGCUCGAAAGCGUGGGGAUCAAACGGG
rnacentral:rRNA from 1 species